UUUUUCCAGUAACUUUUUAUGUUUAUUUGUCAAUUCUUGGUAAUUAACAGAGCAUAAGUUGAUAUGUCAAAUUUUGCAAGUGGCAUUCCCUGCUUUGGAGGAAUUGAGAAUUUUUGAUGUACAUAAUAUAUCAGUGGUAUGGGACAAACAUUUAGAACCCCUUGUCCAAGAAGAGAGAGAAUCCUUUUGUCAAUUAAGAAACCUAGCGCAUCUUCGACAUCUAUAUAUACACAGAUGUGCAAAAUUGAAAACAAUAGUAGUGGCCAAUAGGAAAGAGGAGAUAACGAUAACCCUCUCGUAUUCCCUCAACUGUAUUCUAUAGAACUAAAUCAGUUGGAGAAUUUCAAGAGUUUCUAUGGCAGUUGUGGACCUGAAGAAAAAGAAGAAUCAACAAAGCAUGAGCUCAACGUGGAAAUUCUCGAACCACAACCCCUCUUUAACCAAAAGGUUGUGUUUCCUUGCUUGGAAGUCUUGGAAAUUUGGAGUUUGGGCAACAUCAAAGAGAUAUGGCAUAGCACACCUCCAACCAACUCCUUCAACAACCUAAGACAUUUGGCUGUGUUCGAUUGUCAAACUUAUUGAAUAUUGCACCAUCAAAACUACUUGGAAGUUUGCAAAACCUACAAUUCCUCUAUGUUGACGAUUGUGGCUCCCUAAAAGAGGUAUUCAAAACCAAAGGAUCAAAUGUUGAAAUCAAUCCCGUGCUCUAUAAAUUAAAACAAGUUAUGCUGUUGAAUUUACCACUCUUGAUAAGAUUUUCCUUUGGGAGUACAUUGCCACCCUCGGUAACACAGGAUAAUAAAAGAUUGCCCCUCCUGGAGACCUCUAUAGAUCCCGACAUACAAGAAAUGUGAGAGAAGAUUGGUGAAUCUUUUUCCUUUUCAAUGAAGAGUUGGUUGUUGCUCAUAAUUGCAUACAAGUGAUUCAAUCUUGUGCUACGUUCCACCAAUGUUUGCUCUGCUUUUGUGUGAAACUCCAGAUUACCAAAGAAAGUUGGGUCCUAUGUGGAGGUAUAAAAGAUGGUGGAAGGCAAAAAAUAUGCUGGAUUGUGAUUUUUUUUUUUAUUAUUUAUAAUUAGGAUCAAUAAAAAGUGAGAAUUUUUUUUUUUUUUGGGUAAGUCCCUUGAUUUGGACUGUAUAAUAUUAUUUAUCAAGUCUUUAUUUUAUUUUAUUUUUUUCCAGUGUGUACAUCCUUACAACCAAUAGUUAUCUAGGUGGUCUUGUGUUUUGUACGUAUAUAUGCUUUGUUUAACUUUGCUGUUUUUUGGAUU